AUACGUAGGUGACAAGCGUUAUCCGGAUUUACUGGGCGUAAAGGGCGUGUAGGCGGUCUAGCAAGUCAGAAGUGAAAUUCCUGAGCUCAACUCGGGCGCUGCUUCUGAAACUGCAGGACUUGAGUGAUGGAGGGGAUAUCGGACUUACUAGUGGAGCGGUAAAAUGCGCAGAUAUUAGGAAGAACACCGGUGGCGAAGGCGGCUAUCUGGACAGUAACUGACGCUGAGGCGCGAAAGCGUGGGGAGCAAAAAGGAUUAGAUACCCUGGUAGUCCCCGCUGUAAACGAUGAUUACUAGGUGUGGGGGGACUGACCCCUUCCGUGCCGCAGUUAACACAAUAAGUAAUCCACCUGGGGAGUACGGCCGCAAGGUUGAAACUCAAAUGAAUUGACGGGG
rnacentral:rRNA from 1 species